UUGUUCGUAGAAGAAAAUUGAGAAGGAUAGAGAAGGGCGGAGAAAGUUUGAAAAAAUUUCAUCAACUGCAGGGGAAGAAAGCAGAGCCUCUCUCUCUAGAAUCUAGAGAGAGAAAGCUUCCCUCGUUGGUAGUUCAUUGUGGUGAUGCUCUGGUGCAGUUGAGGCCAGUUGUUUAUCUCUUCUACCCAUUAAGUUCAGUCUGAGUGAGAUUUGUUUUCUGUUAUGUAAAUUUCCGACAGUGAAGUGGAGUGGUUUGCUUUCCAUCUUUGUGUCACGUGGAUUUUUAUGGCAGAUGUGCCUGGUUCUUAUUGUUUCAGUCCGGUCAUUUUCAGCAUGGCUGGUCUUGGGUUCUCCAUUGUCUCACACCUCAGUUCCAUCUCUUGGAUUCAUAGCUCGGGUGACCAUGUACGUUGUUACUCUGGCUGCUUAUUUGAGGCUGGAACCGAGGCUGUGAGAGAAAGAUAGAGUGAUGUUGGUUGUGGUAUACUCUAGAUUCUGAAGUUUUCAGUCCAUGAGUGGUUGCUGGGUGGUGAAGAUCUCUUUGGGAGUUUUACCCCGCUGGUGAACUCCUUCGGUGCUGGGGUGUACUGGGUUGCCGUACGUGAUGUUUCCUGUCACCGAUGUUUUGUUUUAGCUUGAAGAUGGUGUUUCAAGGUGUUGUUUGCGGCUGUCGCGUGUGUGGUUUUUAUGGCAGCUUCAAGCGUGGUUCUGUGGUCAGCAUCUUUUCCGAUGCUGGUUGGUUGUCAAGGUGGUCUCUGGCUACAGAAAGUGAGGCGAGUGGGGUGCACGUCGUCGUUGGCGUGUAUGGAAAUAAAUCAUUGCGUUGUAUCCUGGUUGCCGCCAAAAAUUUGGGCUGGUUUCAAAAUCCGGGGGCUGGUUUUCCUUUUUGCUCAAAUGGCGUGCUGCAGUGUUGUAUAGCCAGCUGUAGGCUUGUUGGUUCAAACGUGGGGCGUAGUGUGAUGUAUGGAUAUGUGAUGUUUGCAGGUUCCAGCAUGGUUCUUAGCACAUGGUGGAUUUGUGUGGUUGGUUCGAUUGGUUUUGGGACUUCUGAAGUGGUCUUCAUAAAGUUGAGUUUUGUAUUUUAUAUAUAUAACUUAGCUGAUGCAUGGCUGCUUUUUGAGGUAACUUCAUGUUGGGUCAUCCACGUGAUUGCUCUAUUUAUUGGUUUUAUAAUAUAUAUAUUUAAUAUAUAUUUGGUGUGCCAAAUUGUUAUGGUCGUGGUUUUAAAUUGGAGUGGGUGGGCCCACGGUGGACAUUUUCUAUUGGCGUUGAUGGAGUGGGUGGGCCUAUGUUGGAUUUUUUGAAUAUUUGAUUGUUGCCUAUGGUUUUUUGGUGGAAGUUUAACGGCAUGGGCAGCUGGGGCCCACGGCAAAUUAGGUUAUGAAGAUAUUGGUGGGGCCCUUUGGUUUUGAAGGUUAUAUUUUUUAAUGGGUCUACUAAUCCACGGUUUAUAGGCUAAGUUUGGUGGCCAUGGGUUGUUUCUUAUGCCCAUUUUUAUUUUGGACCGAGGCUAAUUUAUGGAGAAAUCAGUGGGUCCACGGCAAACUAAGGAAUAUAGAAAUUUGUUUCGUCCUUCAAUUUUGUUGUCUACUAUAUUUGGCUUCUUUGUUAUUUGGUUGAUGAUCUGUACAUGUUCAUGUGAUUCGGCUUAGAGCAGUUCUCUGACCUCUUCUGGUGUGGAGUGAGGGGGUCACUGCCAUGAGGAAUUGAGGUGUGGAAUUUGCCAUUGUUAGAACUGGGAGAUGUGUGGUGAGUUAAUUGGAUUUUGAUUGACUCUUUUGCGUGGACAACAUUUUGCAUGGGCUAUGCUUCUUUGUUGUUGAUAAAUCCAAGUGGUUGAGUGGUUUUUGUUUGGUAAUUGGUGGGCCUUUAUGUAUUCUGCUGUCAACUAUUGGCUUUUCGUUAUUUGGUUGAUGAUCCGUACAUAUUCAUGUGAUUCGACUUAGUGCAGUUCUCUGACCUCUUCUGGUGUGGAGUGAGGGGGACACUACCAUGGGGAAACGAGGUGUGGAAUUUUCCAUUGCUGGAACUGGGAGAUGUGUGCCCUAGUGAUUAUCUCAAAUAUUGUUGGAAAGGAGAAACUAGAGAGGAAGGGGAAAUCCUCAAGAAGAGAAGAUUAGAAUCUUGUGAGGGAUUGUAAAAUCAAGAUUCAAGGACACACUCCGGGAGGAAGUAACACGUCAUCUCAACACUGCACUCAAACUGGAGGUCAACCUUAACUUGUGGCUUUUGUUACCCAAUUGUCAAUCCCUGAGUAUCUAAGCUCCUAGAUGUUGAUCGUUCAAGUUAUGGAGUUUUGCUAAGUUUUUAAUUUGUACCCUACAUGUCUGUUAAGAUCGACGUAUAUGUAUAUGUACAUAGCUGUCUUCAGAUGCACGUCUCUGUAUAUUUAUCUACAUUAUGUAAUUUGUGAUCCUGGCAUGGUAGUGGUAGCUCAAUGGGUAUUAUGUUACGCUAUUAUAUGUUAAUAUAUGCUUCCGUUCAGGCCCCAUAAGUUAUAUUCAUCAAGUUUUAUGUCCGUUUCUGAGGUGGUCAUGCCCAAACUUUUAGGGGCGAGUUCGAGGUGUGACAAGUUAAUUGGAUUUUGAUUGGUUUUUUGUGUGGACAACAUUUUUGCAUGGGCUAAUGCUUCUUUCUUGUUGAUAAAUCCAAGUGGUUGAGUGGUUUUUGUUUUGGAAAUUGGUGGGCCUUUAUGCAUUCUGCUGUCUACUGCACUUGGCUUUUUCGUUAUUUGGUUGAUGAUCCGUACAUAUUCAUGUGAUUCAACUUAGUGCAGUUCUCAGACCUCUUCUGGUGUGGAGUGAGGGGGACACUACCAUGGGGAAUUGAGGUGUGGAAUUUGCCAUUGCUGGAACUAGAAGAUGUGUGGUGAGUUAAUUGGAUUUUGAUUGGCUCUUUUGUGUGGACAACAUUUUUUCAUGGUGUAGACGUCCCCGAACGCCCCGGGAGGACGAGUCCCGUUCCGUUCGUUUUGGGUUC